AACGCGAAGAACCUUACCUGGGUUUGACAUGCACAGGACGCCGGCAGAGAUGUCGGUUCCCUUGUGGCCUGUGUGCAGGUGGUGCAUGGCCGUCGUCAGCUCGUGUCGUGAGAUGUUGGGUUAAGUCCCGCAACGAGCGCAACCCUUGUCUCAUGUUGCCAGCACGUAAUGGUGGGGACUCGUGAGAGACUGCCGGGGUCAACUCGGAGGAAGGUGGGGACGACGUCCAGUCAUCAUGCCCCUUAUGUCCAGGGCUUCACACAUGCUACAAUGGCCGGUACAAAGGGAUGAGAUGCGCUCACGUGGCGCGACUCCUUCUUACAGCCGGUCUCACUUGCGAUCGGCGUCCGCACCUCGCCCCCGCGCAGUCGGCGUCGGUACCAAUAGCACAUCCGCACCGCCGCGGGAAUAAGUUCCCGGGUCUGUCACACG
rnacentral:rRNA from 1 species